AGAGUUUGAUCCUGGCUCAGGAUGAACGCUAGCGGCAGGCUUAACACAUGCAAGUCGAGGGGUAACAUUGGUGCUUGCACCAGAUGACGACCGGCGCACGGGUGCGUAACGCGUAUGAAACCUACCUAAUACAGGGGGAUAGCCCAGAGAAAUUUGGAUUAAUACCCCAUGGUACUGUUGAAUCGCCUGAUUCAAUAGUUAAAGAUUUAUCGGUAUUAGAUGGUCAUGCGUUCUAUUAGUUAGUUGGUAAGGUAACGGCUUACCAAGACCGCGAUAGAUAGGGGCCCUGAGAGGGGGAUCCCCCACACUGGUACUGAGACACGGACCAGACUCCUACGGGAGGCAGCAGUGAGGAAUAUCGGACAAUGGAGGCAACUCUGAUCCAGCCAUNCCGCGUGAAGGAAGACUGCCCUAUGGGUUGUAAACUUCUUUUAUAGAGGAAGAAACGUGAUUACGUGUAAUCAUUUGACGGUACUCUACGAAUAAGGAUCGGCUAACUCCGUGCCAGCAGCCGCGGUAAUAC
rnacentral:rRNA from 1 species